rnacentral:rRNA from 1 species
AUAGAACCUGAAACCCUGCACUUACAAGCUGUGGAAGCACAUUUCUUGUGUGACCGCGUACUUUUUGUAGAACGGGCCAACGAGUUACGUUAAGUAGCAAGGUUAAGCACUUAAGGUGUGGAGCCGUAGCGAAAGCGAGUUUUAACUGAGCGUUCAGUUACUUGACGUAGACCCGAAACCGGGCGACCUACCCAUGAGCAGGAUGAAGCGAAAGUAAAAUGUCGUGGAGGUCCGAACCCACGAGCGUUGAAAA